GGGUUGUGAGGUUAAGCGACUAAGCGUACACGGUGGAUGCCCUGGCAGUCAGAGGCGAUGAAGGACGUGCUAAUCUGCGAUAAGCGUCGGUAAGGUGAUAUGAACCGUUAUAACCGGCGAUUUCCGAAUGGGGAAACCCAGUGUGAUUCGUCACACUAUCAUUAACUGAAUCCAUAGGUUAAUGAGGCGAACCGGGGGAACUGAAACAUCUAAGUACCCCGAGGAAAAGAAAUCAACCGAGAUUCCCCCAGUAGCGGCGAGCGAACGGGGAGCAGCCCAGAGCCUGAAUCAGUGUGUGUGUUAGUGGAAGCGUCUGGAAAGGCGCGCGAUACAGGGUGACAGCCCCGUACACAAAAAUGCACAUGCUGUGAGCUCGAUGAGUAGGGCGGGACACGUGGUAUCCUGUCUGAAUAUGGGGGGACCAUCCUCCAAGGCUAAAUACUCCUGACUGACCGAUAGUGAACCAGUACCGUGAGGGAAAGGCGAAAAGAACCCCGGCGAGGGGAGUGAAAAAGAACCUGAAACCGUGUACGUACAAGCAGUGGGAGCACGCUUAGGCGUGUGACUGCGUACCUUUUGUAUAAUGGGUCAGCGACUUAUAUUCUGUAGCAAGGUUAACCGAAUAGGGGAGCCGAAGGGAAACCGAGUCUUAACUGGGCGUUAAGUUGCAGGGUAUAGACCCGAAACCCGGUGAUCUAGCCAUGGGCAGGUUGAAGGUUGGGUAACACUAACUGGAGGACCGAACCGACUAAUGUUGAAAAAUUAGCGGAUGACUUGUGGCUGGGGGUGAAAGGCCAAUCAAACCGGGAGAUAGCUGGUUCUCCCCGAAAGCUAUUUAGGUAGCGCCUCGUGAAUUCAUCUCCGGGGGUAGAGCACUGUUUCGGCAAGGGGGUCAUCCCGACUUACCAACCCGAUGCAAACUGCGAAUACCGGAGAAUGUUAUCACGGGAGACACACGGCGGGUGCUAACGUCCGUCGUGAAGAGGGAAACAACCCAGACCGCCAGCUAAGGUCCCAAAGUCAUGGUUAAGUGGGAAACGAUGUGGGAAGGCCCAGACAGCCAGGAUGUUGGCUUAGAAGCAGCCAUCAUUUAAAGAAAGCGUAAUAGCUCACUGGUCGAGUCGGCCUGCGCGGAAGAUGUAACGGGGCUAAACCAUGCACCGAAGCUGCGGCAGCGACGCUGAUGCGUUGUUGGGUAGGGGAGCGUUCUGUAAGCCUGCGAAGGUGUGCUGUGAGGCAUGCUGGAGGUAUCAGAAGUGCGAAUGCUGACAUAAGUAACGAUAAAGCGGGUGAAAAGCCCGCUCGCCGGAAGACCAAGGGUUCCUGUCCAACGUUAAUCGGGGCAGGGUGAGUCGACCCCUAAGGCGAGGCCGAAAGGCGUAGUCGAUGGGAAACAGGUUAAUAUUCCUGUACUUGGUGUUACUGCGAAGGGGGGACGGAGAAGGCUAUGUUGGCCGGGCGACGGUUGUCCCGGUUUAAGCGUGUAGGCUGGUUUUCCAGGCAAAUCCGGAAAAUCAAGGCUGAGGCGUGAUGACGAGGCACUACGGUGCUGAAGCAACAAAUGCCCUGCUUCCAGGAAAAGCCUCUAAGCAUCAGGUAACAUCAAAUCGUACCCCAAACCGACACAGGUGGUCAGGUAGAGAAUACCAAGGCGCUUGAGAGAACUCGGGUGAAGGAACUAGGCAAAAUGGUGCCGUAACUUCGGGAGAAGGCACGCUGAUAUGUAGGUGAAGUCCCUCGCGGAUGGAGCUGAAAUCAGUCGAAGAUACCAGCUGGCUGCAACUGUUUAUUAAAAACACAGCACUGUGCAAACACGAAAGUGGACGUAUACGGUGUGACGCCUGCCCGGUGCCGGAAGGUUAAUUGAUGGGGUUAGCGCAAGCGAAGCUCUUGAUCGAAGCCCCGGUAAACGGCGGCCGUAACUAUAACGGUCCUAAGGUAGCGAAAUUCCUUGUCGGGUAAGUUCCGACCUGCACGAAUGGCGUAAUGAUGGCCAGGCUGUCUCCACCCGAGACUCAGUGAAAUUGAACUCGCUGUGAAGAUGCAGUGUACCCGCGGCAAGACGGAAAGACCCCGUGAACCUUUACUAUAGCUUGACACUGAACAUUGAGCCUUGAUGUGUAGGAUAGGUGGGAGGCUUUGAAGUGUGGACGCCAGUCUGCAUGGAGCCGACCUUGAAAUACCACCCUUUAAUGUUUGAUGUUCUAACGUUGACCCGUAAUCCGGGUUGCGGACAGUGUCUGGUGGGUAGUUUGACUGGGGCGGUCUCCUCCUAAAGAGUAACGGAGGAGCACGAAGGUUGGCUAAUCCUGGUCGGACAUCAGGAGGUUAGUGCAAUGGCAUAAGCCAGCUUGACUGCGAGCGUGACGGCGCGAGCAGGUGCGAAAGCAGGUCAUAGUGAUCCGGUGGUUCUGAAUGGAAGGGCCAUCGCUCAACGGAUAAAAGGUACUCCGGGGAUAACAGGCUGAUACCGCCCAAGAGUUCAUAUCGACGGCGGUGUUUGGCACCUCGAUGUCGGCUCAUCACAUCCUGGGGCUGAAGUAGGUCCCAAGGGUAUGGCUGUUCGCCAUUUAAAGUGGUACGCGAGCUGGGUUUAGAACGUCGUGAGACAGUUCGGUCCCUAUCUGCCGUGGGCGCUGGAGAACUGAGGGGGGCUGCUCCUAGUACGAGAGGACCGGAGUGGACGCAUCACUGGUGUUCGGGUUGUCAUGCCAAUGGCACUGCCCGGUAGCUAAAUGCGGAAGAGAUAAGUGCUGAAAGCAUCUAAGCACGAAACUUGCCCCGAGAUGAGUUCUCCCUGACUCCUUGAGAGUCCUGAAGGAACGUUGAAGACGACGACGUUGAUAGGCCGGGUGUGUAAGCACAGCGAUGCGUUGAGCUAACCGGUACUAAUGAACCGUGAGGCUUAACCUUACAACGCCGAAGGUGUUU
rnacentral:rRNA from 1 species